ACCCAGGUGCUUUUAUUCUGCUAUGCAUUUUACACAUAUGGUUUGUAAUUUGAUAUUUGUUGUUUCAUUUUUGUUUAGGUACAAGAAGCUCCUAAGCUCAGUGGAUCUUACAAAGGACUUCUUUUUCAGCUAUUCAUACAAUGUUAUGUGUAGUCUUCAAAAGAACUUGUAUAAUAAUAAACCAGGUGCAGGGCUUCUGAUUUUCCGAGGGAAUAUGACGGUGAAUGCCUUCAAAUGAGAAUGUCAUACAGUCCGACUGCACACCUCUUCCUAUUCUUGGUGCAGUGGACUGACUUUCACCUUGCAGGUGCACUCGGGCUGUUAAGAAUCUUAAUUUACAAAGUUUAUGUCGAUGGUACUACCACCAUGUCUACACAUGAAAGGAAAGCAAGCAUAAGAGAGUUCUAUGAGAUGAUGAAGAUGAUUUUGUUGCCAAGAUGAAGGCGGUGAGGAAGCCUUGGAAGCAAAACAAAAAGUAACAAAUAGCUUGUCUGCUACCUGUUUUUUUUUUUUUUUCAUGUUUUAUAAUUUUGUGACAAAUUGUUCUUG